GUGCAUUUGGAUGGUACAUAUAUUAAAAUUGGGACUAUGUAGAGAAUAGUAUGACCCCUGCACAAAGAUGCCGUGCAGAUUUGUGAAACAGUUUUCAUUUGU
rfam:Otolemur garnettii contig062148, whole genome shotgun sequence.